rnacentral:rRNA from 1 species
GACGAACGCUGGCGGCGCGCUUAACACAUGCAAGUCGAACGGAAAGGCCUGCUUUCCCUUGUGGAUUGCGGGUACUCGAGUGGCGAACGGGUGAGUAACACGUGAGUGAUCUGCCCCCAACUUGGGUAUAAGCCUGGGAAACUGGGUCUAAUUCCCGAUAGGACUGCAGGGUGGUGCCUGUGGUGGAAAACGAUUUUCUAGUGGUUGGGGAUGAGCUCGCGGCCUAUCAGCUUGUUGGUGGGGGAAUGGCCUACCAAGGCGGCGACGGGUAGCCGGCCUGAGAGGGUGGACGGCCCCAUUGGGACUGGGAUACGGCCCAGACUCCUACGGGAGGCAGCAGUGGGGAAUAUUGCACAAUGGGCGGAAGCCUGAUGCAGCGACGCCGCGUGGGGGAUGACGGCCUUCGGGUUGUAAACUCCUUUCGACCGCGAGGAAGCCACCUGGUUGGAAGGGUGGUGACGGUAGUGGUAGAAGAAGCACCGGCUAACUACGUG